rnacentral:rRNA from 1 species
GACGAACGCUGGCGGCGUGCUUAACACAUGCAAGUCGAACGGAGUGGCGAACGGGUGAGUAACACGUGGGUGACCUGCCCUGCACUUCGGGAUAAGCCUGGGAAACUGGGUCUAAUACCGGAUAGUGUGGGAUGGGCCCGCGGCCUAUCAGCUUGUUGGUGGGGUAAUGGCAUACCAAGGCGGCGACGGGUAGCCGGCCUGAGAGGUUGGACGGCCACAAUGGUACUAAGACACGGCGCAGACGGCGACGGGAGGCAGAAGUGGGGAAUAUUGCGCAAUGGGCGGAAGCCUGAUGCAGCGACGCCGCGAGGGGGAUGACGGCCUUCGAGUUGUAAACACCUUUCACCAUCGACGCGGUAGAUGGAGAAGAAGCACCGGCUAACUACGUGCCAGCAGCCGCGGUAAUUC